rnacentral:rRNA from 1 species
AACGAACGCUGGCGGCAGGCUUAACACAUGCAAGUCGAGCGCCCCGCAAGGGGAGCGGCAGACGGGUGAGUAACGCGUGGGAAUCUACCCAUCUCUACGGAAUAACGCAUGGAAACGUGUGCUAAUACCGUAUACGUCCUUCGGGAGAAAGAUUUAUCGGACAUGGAUGAGCCCGCGUUGGAUUAGCUAGUUGGUGGGGUAAAGGCCUACCAAGGCGACGAUCCAUAGCUGGUCUGAGAGGAUGAUCAGCCACACCGGGACUGAGACACGGCCCAGACUCCUACGGGAGGCAGCAGUGGGGAAUAUUGGACAAUGGGCGCAAGCCUGAUCCAGCCAUGCCGCGUGAGUGAUGAAGGCCCUAGGGUUGUAAAGCUCUUUCACCGGUGAAGAUAAUGACGGUAACCGGAGAAGAAGCCCCGGCUAACUUCGUGCCAGCAGCCGCCGUAACAC